rnacentral:rRNA from 1 species
CCUACGGGUGGCAGCAGUGGGGAAUAUUGCACAAUGGGGGAAACUCUGAUGCAGCGACGCCGCGUGAGUGAGGAAGUAUCUCGGUAUGUAAAGCUCUAUUAGUAGGGAAGAAAAUGACGGUACCUGACUAAGAAGCCCCGGCUAACAACGUGCCAGCAGCCGCGGUAAUACGUAGGGGGCAAGCGUUAUCCGGAUUUACUGGGUGUAAAGGGGGCGUAGACGGUUAAUCAAGUCAGAAGUGAAAACCCAGGGCUCAACCUUGGCACUGCUUUUGAAACUGAGUAGCUAGAGUGCAGGAGCGGUAAGCGGAAUGCCUGGUGUAGCGGUGAAAUGCGUAGAUAUUAGGCGGAACACCAGUGGCGAAGGCGGCUUACUGGACUGUAACUGACGUUGAGGCUCGAAAGCGUGGGGAGCAAACAGGAUUAGAUACCCCAGUAGUC